UGGUACAUAGUUUAAUUAAAACAAAUGAUUUCGACUCAUUAGAUUAUGACAAGUCAUAUUUACCAA
rnacentral:tRNA from 1 species